rnacentral:rRNA from 1 species
UUGAACGCUGGCGGCAGGCCUAACACAUGCAAGUCGAACGGUAACAGGAAGAAGCUUGCUUCUUUGCUGACGAGUGGCGGACGGGUGAGUAAUGUCUGGGAAACUGCCUGAUGGAGGGGGAUAACUACUGGAAACGGUAGCUAAUACCGCAUAACGUCGCAAUACCAAAGAGGGGGACCUUCGGGCCUCUUGCCAUCGGAUGUGCCCAGAUGGGAUUAGCUAGUAGGUGGGGUAACGGCUCACCUAGGCGACGAUCCCUAGCUGGUCUGAGAGGAUGACCAGCCACACUGGAACUGAGACACGGUCCAGACUCCUACGGGAGGCAGCAGUGGGGAAUAUUGCACAAUGGGCGCAAGCCUGAUGCAGCCAUGCCGCGUGUAUGAAGAAGGCCUUCGGGUUGUAAAGUACUUUCAGCGGGGAGGAAGGGAGUAAAGUUAAUACCUUUGCUCAUUGACGUUACCCGCAGAAGAAGCACCGGCUAACUCCGUG